GGGGAUUUAGCUCAGUGGCAUAAGCGCCUGCCUGGUAAGCAGGCAGUCUUGGGUUCGAUCCCUGGUACCCA
rfam:Cavia porcellus supercont2_0 genomic scaffold, whole genome shotgun sequence.